rnacentral:rRNA from 1 species
UACGUAGGGUGCAAGCGUUGUCCGGAAUUACUGGGCGUAAAGAGCUCGUAGGUGGUUUGUCGCGUUGUUCGUGAAAACUCACAGCUUAACUGUGGGCGUGCGGGCGAUACGGGCAGACUGGAGUACUGCGGGGGAGACUGGAAUUCCUGGUGUAGCGGUGGAAUGCGCAGAUAUCAGGAGGAACACCGGUGGCGAAGGCGGGUCUCUGGGCCGAUACUGACGCUGAGGAGCGAAAGCGUGGGGAGCAAACAGG